rnacentral:rRNA from 1 species
AAUCAACGCUGGCGGCGUGCCUAACACAUGCAAGUCGAACGCGAAAGGGCUUCGGUCCUGAGUAGAGUGGCGUCCGGGUGAGUAACGCGUGGGCAAUCUACCUCUGGGUGGGGAAUAACCAGUCGAAAGGCUGGCUAAUACCGCAUAAUGCAGCGGCACGACAUCGUGACAGUUGUUAAAGCAGCAAUGCGCCUGGAGAGGAGCCUGCGUCUGAUUAGGUAGUUGGUGAGGUAACGGCUCACCAAGCCUGCGAUCAGUAGCUGGUCUGAGAGGACGGCCAGCCACAAUGGCACUGAAACACGGGGCCAUACUCCUACGGGAGGCAGCAGUGGGGAAUAUUGGACAAUGGGCGCAAGCCUGAUCCAGCGAUGCCGCGUGUGUGAAGAAGGCCUGC